rnacentral:rRNA from 1 species
GACGAACGCUGGCGGCGUGCUUAACACAUGCAAGUCGAACGGAAAGGCCCUGCUUUUGUGGGGUGCUCGAGUGGCGAACGGGUGAGUAACACGUGAGUAACCUGCCCUUGACUUUGGGAUAACUUCAGGAAACUGGGGCUAAUACCGGAUAGGAGCUCCUGCUGCAUGGUGGGGGUUGGAAAGUUUCGGCGGUUGGGGAUGGACUCGCGGCUUAUCAGCUUGUUGGUGGGGUAGUGGCUUACCAAGGCUUUGACGGAUAGCCGGCCUGAGAGGGUGACCGGCCUCAUUGGGACUGAGAGACGGCCCAGACUCCUACGGGAGGCAGCAGUGGGGAAUAUGGCACAAUGGGCGGAAGCCUGAUGCAACAACGCCGCGUGCGGGAUGACGGCCUUCGGGUUGUAAACCGCUUUCGCCUGUGACGAAGCGUGAGUGACGGUAAUGGGUAAAGAAGCACCGGCUAACUACGUG